rnacentral:rRNA from 1 species
GACGAACCGUGCGAACGUUAUUCGGAAUCACUGGGCUUAAAGCGCGUGUAGGCGGGCCGCCACGUCGGGCGCUGAAAUCCCCCGGCUCAACCGGGGAACGGGCACCGAUACGAGCGGCCUGGAGGGGAGUAGGGGGACCUGGAACUUCCGGUGGAGCGGUGAAAUGCGUAGAUAUCGGGAGGAAUACCGAUGGCGAAGGCAGGUCUCUGGGCUGACACUGACGCUCAUGCACGAAAGCGUGGGGAGCAAACAGG